rnacentral:lncRNA from 1 species
GAAGGAGGGGAAGCAGAGAGCAAACCCGAAGAAGAAGAAGAAGCGAAGGAAGACGGAGAAGCGGAGGAAGCCAGUGGCGACGCGGAGGAGAAGGAAGAGGACACGAAAGAAGCGGCAGAGGAAGAGAAGGCGGCCGAUGGAGAGGGAGGAGAGGAGUCCGAAGAGAAGGCGGACGGAGAGACCGAGGACAAGGGGACGGAAGGAGAUGACGAGUCCGGAGAGGCCGCCGAAGGAGAGGGAGAGGGAGAAUCGGGAGAAGCCAAGGAGGAGGAGAAAGAGGAAGAGGAGAAGAAGGAGGGAGAGGAGGAGAAGGAGGAGGA